CUUAUCUCAUAGCUCUUUUCUUCCGCAUGUUUAGUUCUUAGUUUCCUUUUUUCUGGUGUGGGCUGCAUUUGGAGCACAGCUGAAUUGAAUUGCAGAUAUUACCUUCAUGAAGUGGGAUGAGUAAACUGUAAUUACCUUUAGUAAUAUUGGGGGAGAGUACAAAUUGCAACUAUGUUUCCUUAAUGUUGGAUUUGAAAGCAACAUAUCUGCGAUUGGAGGGACAUUACAAUGUGAUUAUUUCCUCUUUGAUAAACUUGGUUGAUCACAAUUCAAUUCAGUUUCGCAUCCAAACACACCAUCAAGUAAUAACUUUGGUAUCUUCUCCCAACAUCGACUGAGAGCCUGUCUGUUCUUUUUCUUCUUCUUUUUUGUUUUUGUUUUUGUUUUGUUUUUUGUUUUUUAAAUUGAAACCGUUAUGUCUUUCUUAUUAUGUGGAGACUUUAAGUCCCUUUUGGACUCAAACUCACAAAAAGUUCUCUGCAUAAAGGGGUUCUCACACAACUUCUGGAAUAACAAAAUCAGAGUAGGCUUUUUAGCGAAUAUUUUGACAAGUGGGCAAUCAGACGGGGUUUGCAUAAGUGUAUCCAAUCUCACAUAAAAAACUGGGGUUUGGCUUAAAACAGCGUUUAGUUCUCAAAUGCCCCUUUUGAGGGGGUUCCAAACGGAUCCUUAGGGUUGCCACUCUCUCCAAAAUAAGAGAUUUAUUAUUAUUAUUAUUUUUUAAGGUUGCUAGUAGCUAAUGCAAUUUCAUGGCAUCCCAUGGAUUACACGUGUUGGAUAUUAGACAAUUUGGGGGUGGCCAUGGGAUCUGAGGUAUAUGGCACUGCUGUACUCACAUAUUUUUAUAUGAAGGUAAUUAAAACUUACGAACUAUUUUAAAUAACUACUAAAACAUACGCUAGAACUAUUUUAAAUAAUGAAAAUACU